UACGUAGGGGGCGAGCGUUGUCCGGAAUUACUGGGCGUAAAGGGCGCGUAGGCGGUCCUUUAAGUCCGCGGUGAAAGCCCGGGGCUCAACCCCGGAGGGUCCGCGGAGACUGGAGGACUGGAGGGUCGGAGAGGAGUGCGGAAUUCCUGGUGUAGCGGUGGAAUGCGUAGAGAUCAGGAGGAACACCGAUGGCGAAGGCAGCACUCUGGCCGAAGUCCCGACGCUGAGGCGCGAAAGCUGGGGGAGCGAACGGG
rnacentral:rRNA from 1 species